AAUAGAUUACAAUAACGUGACUAUAUAACGACCUGGCAUGAGACUGGGCUGCGUGGUCACGUGUUUGCAAAGGGUCUAUAGGCCUGGAAUAUGAAGCAGCUUGUUUAGUCAUUUACAAAUGGAUUCGUUUGGACGCAACUCUUCUUGAAACAAAUCCAGGGAAGACGGGUAAAAAAAAAGAUAGUUUUGGUACGUGUGGACGUGGCCUUAGAAGGAGGCACUAACCUGCAAGAUGAGCACUGAUAUUUAUCUUUGGCUACAGUACAUGUAGGUAGGUAUAGGUUAAAUCGCCCUGCCCAAAGGUGGGUAUACACUGUAUACCUGCAUAUACGCACCACUACACCUCUUCGGUACAUCAUAUCUUGCAAUGGCACUGAAUGUUGGCAUUGGACGUGAAAUGGGAGGAACGUAAUCGUCCAAUAUAGACAUACUUCCAUCAGUUUCCAAGGACGCUUAUCAAGGCAAGACUAGAAUGAAAAGAGGAGACAGACCAACAUGCUUUGCUAGCUCAAUAUGAGAAUCUUAGCAACAAGGAGGUUUGCACUUCUGUCAUCUUAUGCUCCGAAUUCUCUCUAAGGACAGGAGGCUGUUAAUUCUGCAUUUACAUUAGUUGAGGAACAUUAAUCCCGAUGGAUUUACAUGCAGUAGCCAUCACUUGUGGUUUGUCCUUUAUGUGACAAUAAAUCUACCCACCCUACACAUUGCUUAUUGCCCUUGAUGGGACAUUAAAAAAACCUGAAAGAUUUUCUUGUCUAGAAUGUAGUUUGGAUUUUAAAAUGUGUUAAUCAGCUCCGGAUUGGUGGUGUAUUUUUUUCUUUUUUAUAAUCGCUCAGAUGACUGUUAGAAAGAUAUAUUUUAGGAUUCAUCAACACAUCUCUUGGAUCCAGGUAAGAGGAUCACACUUGUAGACCCCCUGGCCACUUCAAUUAGUGACCUCCACAGGCUUCUCCGAGCAGAGUGCUGAGAUUCUCUUCAAAUCCACAUGAUCAAAAUGUAUGAUUAAUGCUUGCAGUCCAUCCCAGCUAAGGCUAAUCAUCCAAAGAUUCACAAAGCCAUUUAAACCUCUCCAAAAACAGGAUGGAAAAGCUGCUUUAAGUAGCAUUUGUAUACAUGCUACAGCAUUAUUUGCAUACCAUAUCAUCAUGGAAAGAAUGCUACGAAGCAGAGUGCUUUAUUAAGAACACAACCAGCAACAUCUAAGGUAAUGGACCCUAAAUCUUUAAAACACUUUUACAGCAUUUUUGAAGCUAUAUGAAUAUAUUAAAGUCAAAGAGGUGAGUCACUGUUAGUUAAUUAGUGAUAUAUGUAUGUUUUAGAUGGCCGCAUUUGGCACAGAAAUUUAAGAAGUACAAAGAUGCUGUUCGUUAGUGUUGAGUUACAGCUCUGAAGGAUCUGUGAUUACAGUCCUCAUUUUAGACUGGGGGCAUCAAGCUUCAUAUCAAUAGGUGGAAGAACAGCAUGGCCUUCAGAACACUUCCACUAAUCACCCAUCUGUGGCCAUUGUCUACCAGAACCAUAUGUGACUGUGAUGUCUGUUUAUUAUAAUGAGGAUGAAGAUAAGUAGCAUUUGAUUACUUCCUCGCAAACUGUGCAGUGUGAAGUACUGUACUGUGUGCCCAGGCACUUGCAGAUCAUUUUGUGCAAUUAAAAGACAAUAUUCGGAAACUGAAAUUAUGAAUUUUGAAUGCCAGGAACUCAUUACUACUAUCUUUGUUUCAUCGUGUAUCUAAAAUACUGAGACAGAAAGAACACAAAAUCCCUUUUCACUAUCUGGUUUUGCAAGAGAAGUGAUUAGAUCACUUGAUACCGUCAUUCAACUGCUUCUAUUUUCUCCACCACAGGACCUUCCCCAGGGGAAUACACAACCAUAAUGGUUUUCAAGAAAUAUUAUCGACCUGGCCUGAUGCUGAAGGUGGCUACUGCUGUAAUGGCGCCCUUGCCUUGUGUGAAGAUGAGGCACAACUUAAAAAGUGCUGCAUUUGAAAGCAUCACGAUGUCUGAUGGAUGAUGUCAUCGCAUCGGACCAACCCUAAAACACCAUCAAUUAAUCAAAUGACUAUACGCAAUAUCAAUGGUGGCUAUUGCAUUGACAAACCUACAGAAAAUUAUCACCCAACCUAGCUGCUUUACACAGAUUGUUAGGCUCUUUUAGCUCUUAGUUUUGGGUUUUACAGCCUACAAAUGCACUGUAUAGUUCAGUCCCAACACUAUCAACAACCAUGUUUCCAGCAGCGGAACCAAAUAGCAAACAAAGUACAGCGUGAGGAAAAUUGAGCAUCUAGCAAGCCAAAGAACCCAUUCUUUGAAGGCUACUAAAACACAGUUUUAACAUUCGUAAAGUGGCCAUGAAUACAAUUCUAUACAUGCUAAUAUUAAAGUAGGCAACUGUUUGCUAAUACAUUAGCUAACACUUUUAUAAAGGUGUUAAAGUGUCUGUCUGGCGGUGUGUCUUUCAACUUGUUCAAGAUUUUCGAGUAAUUAUUUGGUAGAUUGGCACUAUCCUCCUAACCUGACUCCGCCAGAUGGAUUGUUUUGCAUUUGCUCGGCAUAUCCAUCUUGGA